rnacentral:rRNA from 1 species
AGUGAACGCUGGCGGUAGGCCUAACACAUGCAAGUCGAACGGCAGCACAGUAAGAGCUUGCUCUUACGGGUGGCGAGUGGCGGACGGGUGAGGAAUACAUCGGAAUCUACUUUUUCGUGGGGGAUAACGUAGGGAAACUUACGCUAAUACCGCAUACGACCUACGGGUGAAAGCAGGGGAUCUUCGGACCUUGCGCGAUUGAAUGAGCCGAUGUCGGAUUAGCUAGUUGGCGGGGUAAGGGCCCACCAAGGCGACGAUCCGUAGCUGGUCUGAGAGGAUGAUCAGCCACACUGGAACUGAGACACGGUCCAGACUCCUACGGGAGGCAGCAGUGGGGAAUAUUGGACAAUGGGCGCAAGCCUGAUCCAGCCAUACCGCGUGGGUGAAGAAGGCCUGCGGGUUGUAAAGCCCUUUUGUUGGGAAAGAAAAGCAGCAGGUUAAUACCCCGCUGUUCUGACGGUACCCAAAGAAUAAGCACCGGCUAACUUCGU